UACGAGGGGUCCUAGCGUUGUUCGGAAUCAUUGGGCGUAAAGGGUGCGUAGGUUGCUAUUCAAGUCAGUUGUGAAAUCCCCGGGCUCAACCCGGGAAGUGCUUCUGAUACUGUUUAGCUUGAGUACUGGAGAGGAUAGUAGAAUUCCAGGUGUAGUGGUGAAAUGCGCAGAUAUCAGGAGGAACACCGGUGGCGAAGGCGGGUCUCUGGGCCGAUACUGACGCUGAGGAGCGAAAGCGUGGGGAGCGAACAGG
rnacentral:rRNA from 1 species